AGUGAACGCUGGCGGUAGGCCUAACACAUGCAAGUCGAACGGCAGCACAGUAAGAGCUUGCUCUUACGGGUGGCGAGUGGCGGACGGGUGAGGAAUACAUCGGAAUCUACUUUUUCGUGGGGGAUAACGUAGGGAAACUUACGCUAAUACCGCAUACGACCUACGGGUGAAAGCAGGGGAUCUUCGGACCUUGCGCGAUUGAAUGAGCCGAUGUCGGAUUAGCUAGUUGGCGGGGUAAAGGCCCACCAAGGCGACGAUCCGUAGCUGGUCUGAGAGGAUGAUCAGCCCCACUGGAACUGAGACACGGUCCAGACUCCUACGGGAGGCAGCAGUGGGGAAUAUUGGACAAUGGGCGCAAGCCUGAUCCAGCCAUACCGCGUGGGUGAAGAAGGCCUUCGGGUUGUAAAGCCCUUUUGUUGGGAAAGAAAAGCAGCAGGUUAAUACCCCGCUGUUCUGACAGUACCCAAAGAAUAAGCACCGGCUAACUUCGUG
rnacentral:rRNA from 1 species